rnacentral:tRNA from 1 species
UGGGAUGUAGCUCAGUGGUAGAUCACUUGCCUGAUAUGCCUGAGGCCCUGGGUUCACUUCACAGCAUCACAA